GAUGAAGAACGUAGCGAAAUGCGAUACUUGGUGUGAAUUGCAGAAUCCCGUGAACCAUCGAGUCUUUGAACGCAAGUUGCGCCCGAAGCCAUUAGGCCGAGGGCACGCCUGCCUGGGCGUCACACGUCGUUGCCCCCCCAUCUACUCCUUCGGGAUUGCGGGGGGCGGAUGAUGGCCUCCCGUGCGCCUCGUCGCGCGGUUGGCAUAAAUGCCAAGUCCUCGGCGACGCACGCCACGACAAUCGGUGGUUGCGAAACCUCGGUUGCCCGUCGUGUGCGGUCGUCGCGCAUCGAGGGCUAGAAAAAAUUGCCGGGCUCCGGCUCGGCUUUCAACGCGACCCCAGGUCAGGCGGGGUUACCCGCUGAAUUUAAGCAUAUCAAUAAGCGGAGGA
rnacentral:misc_RNA from 1 species